rnacentral:rRNA from 1 species
CCUACGGGUGGCAGCAGUGAGGAAUAUUGGUCAAUGGACGAGAGUCUGAACCAGCCAAGUAGCGUGAAGGAUGACUGCCCUCUGGGUUGUAAACUUCUUUUAUAUGGGAAUAAACUGUUCCACUUGUGGGAUUUUGUAUGUACCAUAUGAAUAAGGAUCGGCUAACUCCGUUCCAGCAGCCGCGGUAAUACGGAGGAUCCGAGCGUUAUCCGGAUUUAUUGGGUUUAUAGGGAGCGUAGGUGGAUUGUUAAGUCAGUUGUGAAAGUUUGCGGCUCAACCGUAAAAUUGCAGUUGAAACUGGCAGUCUUGAGUACAGUAGAGGUGGGCGGAAUUCGUGGUGUAGCGGUGAAAUGCUUAGAUAUCACGAAGAACUCCGAUUGCGAAGGCAGUUCACUGGACUGCAACUGACACUGAGGCUCGAAAGUGUGGGUAUCAAACAGGAUUAGAUACCCUUGUAGUC